rnacentral:rRNA from 1 species
GACGAACGCUGGCGGCGGGCUUAACACAUGCAAGUCGAACGGAAAGGCCCGGCUGUUUGCGGGUGCUCGAGUGGCGAACGGAUGGGUAACACGUGAGUAACCUGCCUGUGCCUUUGGGGUAACUUCAGGAAACUGGGGCGAAUACCGAAUAGGAGCGCCUGCUGCAUGGUGGGGGUUGGAGAGGUUCGGCGGUUGGUGAUGGACUCGCUGGUUUUCAGAUUGUUGGUUGGUGAGUCGCUUACCAAGGCUGUGACGGGUAGCAGGCCCGAGAGGGGGACUGGGCCACUUGGGAGUGUCCUACGGGCGAGACCACUAAGGGAGGCAGCAGUGGGGACUAUUGCCUAAUGGGCGGAAGCCUGAUGCAGCAACGCUGCGUGAGGGAUGACGGCCUUCGGGUUGUCAACCGCUUUCGCCUGUGCCUAAGAGUGAGUGCAGGUACUGUGUAAAGAAGCACCGGCUAACUCCGUG